UACGAAGGGGGCUAGCGUUGUUCGGAAUCACUGGGCGUAAAGGGCGCGUAGGCGGCUUUAUAAGUCGGGGGUGAAAGCCUGUGGCUCAACCACAGAAUUGCCUUCGAUACUGUUAGGCUUGAGACCGGAAGAGGUGAGUGGAACUGCGAGUGUAGAGGUGAAAUUCGUAGAUAUUCGCAAGAACACCAGUGGCGAAGGCGGCUCACUGGUCCGGUUCUGACGCUGAGGCGCGAAAGCGUGGGGAGCAAACGGG
rnacentral:rRNA from 1 species